GACGAACGCUGGCGGCGUGCUUAACACAUGCAAGUCGAACGGAAAGGCCCUGCUUUUGUGGGGUGCUCGAGUGGCGAACGGGUGAGUAACACGUGAGUAACCUGCCCUUGACUUUGGGAUAACUUCAGGAAACUGGGGCUAAUACCGGAUAGGAGCUCCUGCUGCAUGGUGGGGGUUGGAAAGUUUCGGCGGUUGGGGAUGGACUCGCGGCUUAUCAGCUUGUUGGUGGGGUAGUGGCUUACCAAGGCUUUGACGGGUAGUCGGCCUGAGAGGGUGACCGGCCACAUUGGGACUGAGAUACGGCGCAGACUCCUACGGGAGGCAGCAGUGGGGAAUAUUGCACAAUGGGCGGAAGCCUGAUGCAGCAACGCCGCGUGCGGGAUGACGGCCUUCGGGCUGUAAACCGCUUUCGCCUGUGACGAAGCGUGAGUGACGGUAAUGGGUAAAGAAGCACCGGCUAACUACGUG
rnacentral:rRNA from 1 species